ensembl:snoRNA SNORD115 Small nucleolar RNA SNORD115
GGGUCUAUGAUGACAAAACUAUGUCAUGAAGAGAGGAAAUGACAUAAAAAUCAUGCUCAGUAGGAUUACACUGAGGCCC